GUGCCACGCUGAAGCCGCUUCACGAGAGGAGGAGAUGCAAAUGAAGAGGACGGGCUACACAGAACAAAACAUGACAUACGUGGUGAUAGGCUCUCAGGGUCCUGCUGCUGUAGUUGGGCCAGCCAGAACCUUGUGUGACUCUUACCCUGAUGACAGCAUCAAACAGGAUGCCAGCCUACAGUUUCAGAUGGGCUGAUGCCAGAGGUCAUCAACCCCACAUCUAGUGGCCAAAGUAACGAAAAGUCUGCCAAAAAUGAGGAAACAAAAAUCAGGCAGUGAGCAACAAAGGCAGGGAACAAAAACCCAAAACACAAGGAAACACAGGGGCCAGCACGAGGGCAAAGAAACAGCAACCCAAAAGGAACAGACCAAACAAAAACAACGGCACAAGGCUGAAAAACAGUCCAGAAACAAGAACAAACCACGGGGAUGAGAAACAAAAACAGGAUGAAACAAAAAGCGAUGGCACAAGGCCGGAGAGCCCCAAUGUCCAACACAAAGGUCAAAAACAAUGAACAGAUCAGGAGCUAAAACAAAACAAAAACAGCAAACGGCAGGAGAAAACACAGUCCACAGUUCAGGGGAGUCCAUGGGAAGUCAAAAACAAAAAAUACACAGUUCAGGAGGCCGACCGCGCUCCCAGCGGCGAUGAGGAGGAGACGGGACUGGAGGCCGACCGCGCUCCCAGCGGCGGCGGCGACGAGGAGGAGGAGAAGACACUGGAGGCCGACCACGCUUCCAGCGGCGGCGACUCACUGGAGCCACAACGUGCCUGGACUCCCCUGAGCCCAGGGUGGUUGAGGACACAGGACACUCGGAAGGUCCGGACCGGGCGGGACCCCCUGGCAGCUCGGACUGAGUGGGACACUCGGAAGACACAGGCGGCUCGGACUGAGCGGGACCCCCUGGCAACUCAGGAAAUAUGAAACUAAACACAAAACGCUGGGCAAACGGCCCAGGACAUGACAGUUUCACCAUUUGUUUACUAUUUGUUUGUAAUUGUGCAUUUUUUAUGCUCCACUUUUACUGUUUAUAAAUGAUAGAUGUGGACAAAGUUCAAAGUAUAUUUCAGAUCAUUGAUGCAUGUUCUGAGAAAGAAAGAUGGGCAAAUGUUCAAAUGAACAUUCAUUGUUAAAAUGUUAAAUAAAGUUCCUUUAUUCAUUGGCUACAUUUGUAAUGUGUCCAUUUUAAAUUUUGACUCAAGAAGUUAAUGAUUACUAGUAAUUGUGUUGCAUGGGGUCUCGGUUCAAGUCUGCCCCACACCAGUUCCUUUGGGAGGGAGUGGUGGCCUAGGGGAGAAGAAGAGGGUUCAUCACUGAGAGGACCCUGGUUCAAAUCCUCGGGCUGGCAUCACUGUGGGUCCCUGAGCAAGCCCUCCC